rnacentral:rRNA from 1 species
AUUGAACGCUGGCGGCGUGCUUAACACAUGCAAGUCGUGCGGUAACAGGCGUAGCAAUACGUGCUGACGAGCGGCGAACGGGUGCGUAAUACAUGGGAAUCUGCCUUUUAGUGGGGAAUAACCCGGCGAAAGCCGGGCUAAUGCCGCAUAAGAUCUUCGGAUGAAAGCGGGGGAUCGUAAGACCUCGCGCUGAUAGAUGAGCCCAUGCCGGAUUAGCAGUUGGUGAGGUAACGGCUCACCAAGGCGACGAUCCGUAGCUGGUCUGAGAGGACGGCCAGCCACAC